UACGUAGGGGGCAAGCGUUGUCCGGAUUUAUUGGGCGUAAAGAGCGUGUAGGCGGUUUGGUAGGUCCGCUGUGAAAACUCGAGGCUCAACCUCGAGACGUCGGCGGAAACCCUCUGGCUAGAGUCCGGAAGAGGAGAGUGGAAUUCCUGGUGUAGCGGUGAAAUGCGCAGAUAUCAGGAAGAACACCCGUGGCGAAGGCGGCUCUCUGGGACGGUACUGACGCUGAGACGCGAAAGCGUGGGGAGCAAACAGG
rnacentral:rRNA from 1 species